rnacentral:lncRNA from 1 species
UCCNCCCUGAGGUACCGACGAUCUUCUCGAGAGCCUUCCCUGUNACGGGGCCUCUCUCUUUUUUGCCAGCUUCGCUCCGACGGUGCCUAUCACAUGAUAACCAAAUUGAUUAUUAAAAUCAGAGAAUUAUAAGAAAACACAUCAUUCAUCUUUCAUUACCUGAGGGCGAGGAGGCGGACGCGACGGAUUCCGCCUCCGAUGAUGAUACCCUCGCCGAAAUAAGAGGCGUAUCAAAAGGCACGAACCGGUACGCCGCUGAUGGAGCCACUGACGGGGGCAGUGGAUAAAUCGGCGUCCCUGAGUCAUCGACUACAGGUAUGGCCGGUAUCAUCCGCGGAAGGAACAGGUGAGGCGGCGGCAUCUGUACCCCAGAUGACCCACUAUCCGAAGAAGUAGGAGCUGGAGUGGGCGCCCGGUGUAUCUCAGGCAUACGGGGUGCAGACACCUCCGUUUGAGGCUGAGCAAACAACUGCCUCGAGGAAUGAGGGAAGCCCCGCUGCCUCGAUGAAGGGGGCACCUCCGGCUGCCUCUGCGCCGUCUGCAGAAGGCUCGCAUGUCUAGCUGUCAUGAGGCCCUGAAACGACGUCUGAGGGUUGCUAGAGGUUCCUUCAGACGAUACGGACCUUUGGCCCUUCGAACCCUUCGUCGAUCUAAUAUUACCGCUCAUCCUAUUUAAAAUAUUAAUUUGAAUCAAGGCCACAAAAUCAAAAAAUGCAAACUCAUUUAAAAAAUGUAAAAAAUAUAUACACUUCCUAAAUACUAAUUUUCACUUUCUAAAUUUUACAUAUAUACACUUCCUAAAUAUACACUUCAUAAAUAAAAAUAUACACUUCAAAAUAGAAAACAAAUAUAUACAUUUCCUAAAUACUAAAUACAAAUAUACACUUAUUAAAUAACAAUAUACACUUCCUAAAUAUACACUUCAUAAAUAAAAAUAUACACUUCAAAAUACAAAACAAAUAUAUACAUUUCCUAAAUACUAAAUACAAAUAUACACUUAUUAAAUAACAAUAUACACUUCCUAAAUA